UACGGGGGGGGCAAGCGUUGUUCGGAAUUACUGGGCGUAAAGGGCGCGUAGGCGGCUUUUCAAGUCGGGCGUGAAAUCUCCGGGCUUAACCCGGAAGGGUCGUUCGAUACUGUUGAGCUAGAGUGUGGAAGAGGCAACUAGAAUUCCGUGUGUAGCGGUGAAAUGCGUAGAUAUACGGAGGAAUACCUGAGGCGAAGGCGGGUUGCUGGGCCAACACUGACGCUGAGGCGCGAAAGCCAGGGGAGCGAACGGG
rnacentral:rRNA from 1 species